rnacentral:lncRNA from 1 species
UCUGAACAGGAUAAAUAGCUGAUCCCUGUGUCAUUGCGGAUAUAUUUAUGUUAGUUUUCAGUUUAGAUCAUGAGAAUUAUGUGAUUAUCUUUAGUUAAAGGAAGUUCUUCAGAGCAAGUCGUCCAAGAAACACCUCUCUCUUUUCUCAAGCAAAUUAUGUUAGCAGUGCUAGACACUGCUGCACAUGGAUGGGAGCUAGGGGAGAGGAAGAACAGGAGCAGUGCUUUGAAUCAGCUAGAAUUGAUUGCAUGUAGAGCUAUCAGGACUUUCCCAGUGUCUACAGAUGUGCAGCAAACCAAAUCACCAGAAUAUGAUUAUUUUUGUCCUAUCCAAGUUUAUCAUUUGAGAAAACAAAGGAGAAGAAGAACAGAAAUGUUAAGGGUUUCAGAGAAUACCUUUGAAGCUGAGAAGAACAUUCUUCCUAACAUCAGUGUCACCAUGGAACAAUUCCUGGAGUUGACCCUAGCACCCUCUUCUGUCAUAACCUAUUCAGGAGAAAAGGAGGUAAAGAUCUUCUGAGCAUCAUGAGAUGACACUGGAAUCAUGACCCUUAGGUAUUCCAUCAGAGAUUUAAAGACGAAUCCUUUGACUUUCCCCCCCAAAACAACAUCUCAGGAAGUAGACCAGAUGUAAGUUUAAAGUAAAUCAAAGAUAUAAAAGCAUUCAAAAGGGAG